AACGAACGCUGGCGGCAUGCCUAACACAUGCAAGUCGAACGAGACCUUCGGGUCAGUGGCGCACGGGUGCGUAACGCGUGGGAACCUGCCCUUAGGUUCUGAAUAACUCCCCGAAAGGGGUGCUAAUACCGGAUAAUGUCUUCGGACCAAAGAUUUAUCGCCUUUGGAUGGGCCCGCGUUGGAUUAGCUAGUUGGUAGGGUAAAAGCCUACCAAGGCGACGAUCCAUAGCUGGUCUGAGAGGAUGAUCAGCCACACUGGGACUGAGACACGGCCCAGACUCCUACGGGAGGGAGCAGUGGGGAAUAUUGGACAAUGGGCGAAAGCCUGAUCCAGCAAUGCCGCGUGAGUGAUGAAGGCCUUAGGGUUGUAAAGCUCUUUUACCCGGGAUGAUAAUGACAGUACCGGGAGAAUAAGCUCCGGCUAACUCCGUG
rnacentral:rRNA from 1 species